CCAUUACAUACAUAAAAGUAAAGUGCUUGAAGAACGAAAUAAAAUGACAACAAUAAGGUUGAUAUGCAUAGAGAGAACAAAGUUGGGAGUUGUGGUUUUAUGGGACACGCUGAAAAGUGGGGGUGACAGAUGUGCUGUGGAUUGGUGGAAGAUUAAGUGAAUAAUUUCCUUUCUGGUGCUAUAUGUCUGACUGAGCUAUGUAUGGGGUGUUUAAAUAUC